UGUCUCUUCUUUCUCCUCUGUGUUUCAUUCGAACCUAAAGAACCCUAAAUUUUUAUCUAACACAGAAAUUGGAGAUGGAGGACCUAACAAUUGAGACCAGAUGAAGGAUGGUGUUUGUGAAUCUGGAGAAAGCAAUAAAUCAUACAGAUAGUUUUGAUUAAUGUGUGAUAUUCCAAAUCCGCUUUUAUGUUUACCUUGAUAGCCAUAACUGUCCAACCUAAAGCGCUUCUCAAGUCUUACAAGGUACUCUUUCGGUUUUGGGACAUCGAAGAAAUUUGCAUUAAACUACAUAAACAUGCAUUCUACUAGCUGCAAUUUUUUUUGUGUUGUUAGGGCUGACUAAUAUAAAUGUAGAUAUGUUAGGGUUGGCUAUUUAGCAGUAGCACUAAAUUUUUUUCCCUCUGUUGACUAGCAAUCUUGAUAAUCUCUCUUACAUAUUCUAAAUUAAUUGUAGUAUUUGUUUCCUCUUAAUUAGAUGUGGCUUUUAAUUCUAGCCUAACGUGCCUAUUUUUCCAAUGUGUUAUUGUGAGACAUUGUCAAAGAUCAUGAAUCAGAUACAUAAGUAAAGAUAUGGGUCAUGUGUUAGGCCUCAUGUUAUUGAGCAUUAGGUUUCCUGUUUAAAGGGUAAAGGGUGAAAACUUGUAUUAGCCUAUUUUCAUGUGUUAAGCCAUUAAUAUGAAGCUUGUCAAAUGAAACGUAUCUCAAAAUGGAUGUGCAUAUAUUUUAAAUGAAUGUGCAUAUAUUUUAUAUUGAAUGUGCUGUAUGUGCAUAUAUUAUACCCCAAUGUUGUUCAUAUUAUUAACGGUUUGAUACUUUGAUAUAAUAAAUAGAAUAACUUCUACGAAAUAUAUUGUAUUCAUAUUUGUUAGUGAAUUAAGCAGUUGAUUAUGUAAAACUAAGGCGUCUACAAUUCAAAAAGCCUAUUAGCUCAAUUGGUAGAGCAGUGUGCUAUAGUGUACAUAGACUGUAGGUUCAAAUCCUACAUAGGCUUCAUUUCAAAAUACUCAUCAUCAAAAUUUUGUAUCAACCAGGCCAUAAAAAAAUUGUAUUAACCCAAGACACACCAAGUUUACAUAAAAAUAUCUCAUUAUGGCAAUGAAUUUAUUCUGAUUAGGUUAUAUAUUACAUUAUUUUCAUUUUAUAGUAUCUGCUUUAUGCAGUAGAUAUGUGAACGAAGAACUAAAUGCUCGGACCUUCUAGUUUAGGCUUAAAACAACCAAGGCUUUUGAAAAUAACCAAGUGUACACCUGCACAUAUACUUGUUUGAGAUACACAUUUAAGACUCUUGAAACUUUACUAAGAAAUAACAUUCUUACAUGCCUCUCCUCUCCUCAUUAUCUCUACUUAUAUAGCUUUCUAUCCAAGCUAACUUAUUCUAGCAACAAGAGUAGACAAUUACAAUUACCCAAUAGUUCA